UAGACCAAUGGGUUUUAAAGUCAGAUAACAGGACACGUUCAGUGAUAUGGUUUCAGAUUUCACAUAGCAACUAAUCUUAAAGAAACUACCAAUUAUCAAGUUGUGGUAUGGGAUCAAAGAAGAACAUUUACAGUUUUCUGAAAAGUCUAUGAAAAUACUCCUCUCUUCUCCAACUACGGAUCUGUGUAUAGCUGGAUUUUCUUCAUAGUCUUUAACCAAAUUAUCAUACAGUAACAGACAGAAAGCACUUGCAGAAAUGAGAACCAACUGUUUUUUAUUAAGCCGGACAUUAAAAAGAGUUGCAAAAAUGUAAAGACAAUGCUACUCUUUUCACUAAAUGUUUUUUAUUGUUCUGGAAAAUAGUUAUUUUUCAUAAACGUAUGUUAUGUUACUAUGUAAAGGGUUUAUUAUUGUUACUUUAAAUGAAUUAAAAUAUUUUUUAAAUUUCUAUUUUAAUUUCUAAUGUGGUAGAUAUCAAGUGAUAAUCCACAUAAACUAAAGUGCUUUGGGGUGCCCAAUAAUUUUUUAGUGUAAAGGGGCUCUGAGACCAAAAAGUUUGAAAACUGAUGCUUCCAAGGAAUCUUAGCAUUAGGCAGCAGGAGAAAGGGGCUCUCUUAAGAAGCAGUGCUAUUGUGGAAAUGUUCCAGAUUGAACAGGCUAAAGAGACAUGAUAACUAAAUGUCACACCAAACCCUAGACUGGAUCCUGCACUGAAAAUGCUACAAAGAAAAUUAUGGGGUCAACUGACAAAAUUGAAAUAUGACUAAAGGAUUGUAACAAUGUUAAAUUUACUGAAGUCAAUAAAUACACUAUGGUUAUAUAAGAAAAUAUCCCUAUUCUUGGGAAAUACAGUAUUUAGGGGCCAAAGGCUCCUACUUUUAAAUGGAGUGUGUAUGUGUGUGUAUAUUUCUCUUUUAUAGCUCUGCCCAGCAAAGAAAAUAAGAUUUUCUACACAGCAGUUUGAAAGUCAAUGCAAAGGUCCACAAAAUUCCUGUGAAGCAGAUAUCACUUUUCAACCCAACAAACACUUUAAUACAUAGUGUGUGAAAAGCAGCUGAGUAGAAAUUACAUAAUUAGGCUGUUACACAAAUUCCUGAGCAAGGUAUAUAUUGCAGCCAAUAUCAUUAGUAACAGUCAUUACUAACCCCCUUCACCCUUGCAGCUUGUGCUAUAGAAUUUCAAAUGCCAAGUACCCUGACAGCCUCCCUUGCAGCUAAGGGUGGCCAUGUGAUCCACCUGUGGCCAAUGAAACCUAAGAGAAUAUUUGCUGGGAGCUUCUGGGAAAGUUUCUGCUUUCCCGACAAAAGGGAAAGCAAGAAGGGAGACGCCUCAUGGCCACUCCACGUCCCACCUCCUUCUUGCAUUUAAUGGGGAUGCCUGGAGCUUGACAAAACAAGCUUGAAGUCAUAACGGUAAAGAGAGGCAAGUGAAAAUAAAGAAAAAAGCCUAGAUCUUUACUGACAUCAUUGGGUAGCUGAACCAACUUCAGCAAAUGCUUACCUCUGUACUUAUGUGAGAAAAAGAUGCUAUUUGUUUAAACCACUGAAAGUCAGGCAUCUGUUACUUACAGUUGCAUCUUUACUGAUGCCUGCUUAUGCAGGAAAAAUGGGGAGAAGGCAGGAGAACAAAUGCAAAAGGCUGCAUGCCAUGCACUGCUGUGCAGAGGAAGCAAUCCCAAAACAAAAUGCCCAUUUAAAACCUGGACCAAAUGGCAUUUUUAACAGUAGCAAGAAUGUAACAAUUUUCAUUAACAAAAGUUAAAAUAAAGAAGCGCUGCAACAGUAAGCAUUCUACAAUGAUUUGAGAGCUGAAAAGGUCAAAAACAUCCUCUAAUCAGCUGGCUUUAAAUGGAAACCAUCUCGGGUGUCCUGCCAAGAGCGUAUAUUGUUGCCAACUUCCUAAUUUAAAACCAUAUAUAAGAAUGCUUUAACUGAAACACACAAGCUAAAAAUAAAACAUUUAAAUAGUAAUCUCCCUUCUCUCUCAAAGAUAAAUGUGCCCAUUAACCCAGGAUGCUAACAGAUUUCUUUCUCUUACAUUCUAUCUGACCUUUUCUUCCCUAAGUCAUUCACGAGGAAAUCAGCACAGAAAAAACAAUUUAGGAAGUUGGCUCCUGAUCAGCUACUUCACUGAAUUAAAGUGCAAUCGGGUUCAUAAUUUUUAAAUGGAAAUAUUAAACAUGUGUAGUAAAUACCGCUACAUAAGGUGCUGUGGAAACCUGUGGGUGGGAUGGAAGGCAACUGGGUAUGAAGAUACUCCAAAGCCACACGUGCUCUUGGGGAGUUAACCAUCUCGUUAGAGCAGGAAGAGAUCAAUGUGAAAAGUUAAAUGAAAUGUUUCAAUAACAGUUCUAGACAGUAGAAGAGCUGUCAUAAAACCGUGUACGAUUCAUUGCCAAAAAAGAUUGUUGCUGAUGCUAGCUGGCGCAGCAUUUCAGAGAAGAAAAAGAUCAUUUCAAGUUGAGGAAGGGUUGGGGAGACUUUACAGAGAAGGCAGGACCCCAGCUCAGGCUUGAAGGAUGCAGAGAAACUGUGAAUGGGCAAAGAAAGCACAUUAAGAGCCUCGAAGAAAGGCUGGUUGUUUAAAAAAAAAAAAAACGUGAGAAACCCUUCAGGAUGUUCUAGUGACUGGUUUAGGGAGGGACGCAGUCAGGGCCCAUGGGGAUGAUGCCAGGUUGUAAAGCUGGAUUGACUAUUCCAAAGAAAAUGGCAGCCAAAAGGUGGAAACGAUCCAAGAGGCCAUCAAUGAAUGAACAGAUAAACAAAAUGUGGUAUACAGUGGAAUAUUAUUCAGCCUUCAAAGGGAACAAAAUUGUGACACAUGCUACAAUAUGGAUAAACCUUAAAGACAUGAUGCUAGGGGAAAUAAGCCAGUCACAAAAAGAAAAUCCUGUAUGAUUCCACUUAUAUGAGAUACCUAAAGUAGUCAAAUUCACAGAGAUGGAAAGUAGAAUGGUGGCUGCUAGGGGCUGAGGUGGCAGGGGAAAUGCGGAGUUACUGGUUAAUGGGCACAGAGUUUCAGUUUUGCAAGAUGAAAAGAGUUCUGGAGAUGGAUGGCGGGAAUGGUUAUACAACAAUGUGAUUCUACUUAAUACACUGAACUGUACACUUAAAAAUGGUUAAGAUGGUACAUUUUAUGUUAUAUAUAUUUUACCACACUAAGAAAAAAAAUACGUUUAAAAACAGAAAGAGAAUAGCAGCAGGCAAGUGAAAAUAUGGACUGGGGUUCAAGAGGGAGCCCAGGACUGGAGAAAAAUUUUGCAGUUGGCCGCAAAAAUAUGGGCAACAUCUUCAGGCUCCAGGCCUGUGAGACCGGCGGGCUCCACAUAGUAAUUCUACCACUGAGUGGUGAGCAGGUGGUAGACAGAACGCCUCCCCGAAUUUUCUUUGGAAAUACUGAACUCAAUUUAAUUUAAUGAAGGAUCCCUAAAAUGUUUUAAAAUAUGUGACCUUGGAAAUACACUAAGAGUCAGGCUCCUGCAGACACCCCUGACGCCCGCCCUCUCCCCACUGGCCUUACUCAGAGGGAUGAGGAUACUGAAAGGACACAGCUCAAUCCCAGAGAAAAUCAAGUGCAGGUUGCGCAUGCGUGGCCCAGGCAGGUGGAGAGCGUUACUUAGCUCAGUAGAGAUUGGCAAAGUUGGGCUUCAUCUAACAAUUCUGUUAUCCAGGCAUCUACAUCUUCCCUAGCUCUGAACGGGGAAUCAUCGGAGCACAGACCUGACGCACGGCA
rnacentral:lncRNA from 1 species